AUCCCAGAUAGAUUUCUUGUGUUUUAUUUGAUUCAUGGAGGCAAACAUCAACAAUCGAAGUUUUCUGAUAGUACCUUUUUAUGUUUCCUAGAAGGUUUUUUAAUAGUGCCUUUCCAUGCAUAA